rnacentral:rRNA from 1 species
UAGGGAAUCUUCCGCAAUGGGCGCAAGCCUGAUCCAGCCAUGCCGCGUGAGUGAUGAAGGCCCUAGGGUUGUAAAGCUCUUUCACCGGUGAAGAUAAUGACGGUAACCGGAGAAGAAGCCCCGGCUAACUUCGUGCCAGCAGCCGCGGUAAUACGAAGGGGGCUAGCGUUGUUCGGAUUUACUGGGCGUAAAGCGCACGUAGGCGGACUAUUAAGUCAGGGGUGAAAUCCCGGGGCUCAACCCCGGAACUGCCUUUGAUACUGGUAGUCUUGAGUUCGAGAGAGGUGAGUGGAAUUCCGAGUGUAGAGGUGAAAUUCGUAGAUAUUCGGAGGAACACCAGUGGCGAAGGCGGCUCACUGGCUCGAUACUGACGCUGAGGUGCGAAAGCGUGGGGAGCAAACAGG